GAGAUGGUGCAGUGGGUUAGUGUGUCUGGCUUUUAACCAGAAGGUUGGUGGUUCGAGCCCACCCAGGGAUU